rnacentral:rRNA from 1 species
UGAUCCUGGCUCAGAACGAACGCUGGCGGCGUGGAUUAGGCAUGCAAGUCGAACGAGAACGUUCCCUUCGGGGAACUAGUACAGUGGCGAACGGGUGAGUAACGCGUGGGAAACCUGCCUUUGAGCGGGGGAUAACAGUUCUAACAGGCUGCUAAUACCGCAUGACGCUGUUGAUCGCAUGGUCAAUAGUUAAAGAUGGCCUCUACAUGUAAGCUGUCGCUUAAAGAUGUCCCGCGUCCUAUUAGCUUGUUGGUGAGGUAACGGCUCACCAAGGCUACGAUGGGUAGCCGGCCUGAGAGGGUGGUCGGCCACACUGGGACUGAGAUACGGCCCAGACUCCUACGGGAGGCAGCAGUCGAGAGGCUUCGGCAAUGGGGGAAACCCUGACCAGCGAUGUCGCGUGGGUGAUGAAGGUCCUUGGACCAUAAAACCCUGUCAGAUGGGAUGAAGUGCCGUUUGGUUAAUAGCCACGCGGCUUGACAGUACCGUCAGAGGAAGCUCCGGCCAACUCCGUGCCAGCAGCCGCGGUAAUACGGGGGGAGCAAGCGUUGUUCGGAAUCAUUGGGCGUAAAGAGCUCGUAGGCGGCUCCGUAAGUCAGGGGUGAAAUCCAAUGGCUCAACCAUUGACACGCCUCUGAAACUACGGACCUUGAGUCCGGAAGAGGAAAGCGGAAUUCCAGGAGUAGCGGUGAAAUGCGUAGAUAUCUGGAAGAACACCAGUGGCGAAGGCGGCUUUCUGGUCCGGUACUGACGCUGAGGAGCGAAAGCCAGGGGAGCGAACGGGAUUAGAUACCCCGGUAGUCCUGGCCGUAAACGAUGGGCACUAGGUGUGGGAAGUUCGACCCUUUCCGUGCCGGAGUUAACGCAUUAAGUGCCCCGCCUGGGGAGUACGACCGCAAGGUUGAAACUCAAAGGAAUUGACGGGGGCCCGCACAAGCGGUGGAGCAUGUGGUUUAAUUCGAUGAUACGCGAAGAACCUUACCGGGGCUUGACAUGCAGUGGACCGCCAUGGAAACAUGGUUUCCCCUUUUGGGGCUGUUGCACAGGUGCUGCAUGGUUGUCGUCAGCUCGUGUCGUGAGAUGUUGGGUUAAGUCCCGCAACGAGCGCAACCCUUGUCCUUAGUUGCCAUCAGGUUAUGCUGGGCACUCUACGGAGACUGCCGGUGAUAAACCGGAGGAAGGUGGGGAUGACGUCAAAUCAUCAUGGCCCUUACGUCCCGGGCUACACACGUGCUACAAUGGCCGGCACAGAGGGUUGCGAUGCCGCAAGGUGGAGCGAAUCCCAAAAAGCCGGUCUCAGUUCGGAUUGCAGUCUGCAACUCGACUGCAUGAAGUUGGAAUCGCUAGUAAUCGCGGAUCAGCAUGCCGCGGUGAAUACGUUCCC